rnacentral:rRNA from 1 species
UAUUAACUCUGGCGGCGUGCUUAACACAUGCAAGUCGAACGAAGCACUUUAUUUGAUUUCCUUCGGGACUGAUUAUUUUGUGACUGAGUGGCGGACGGGUGAGUAACGCGUGGGUAACCUGCCUUGUACAGGGGGAUAACAGUUGGAAACGGCUGCUAAUACCGCAUAAGCGCACAGCAUCGCAUGAUGCAGUGUGAAAAACUCCGGUGGUAUAAGAUGGACCCGCGUUGGAUUAGCUAGUUGGUGAGGUAACGGCCCACCAAGGCGACGAUCCAUAGCCGACCUGAGAGGGUGACCGGCCACAUUGGGACUGAGACACGGCCCAAACUCCUACGGGAGGCAGCAGUGGGGAAUAUUGCACAAUGGGCGAAAGCCUGAUGCAGCGACGCCGCGUGAGCGAAGAAGUAUUUCGGUAUGUAAAGCUCUAUCAGCAGGGAAGAUAAUGACGGUACCUGACUAAGAAGCACCGGCUAAAUACGUG